AAUUAACGCUGGCGGCAUGCCUAACACAUGCAAGUCGCACGAGAAAGCCCGGUUCGCCGGGCAAGUAAAGUGGCGCACGGGUGAGUAACGCGUGGAUAAUCUACCUCAUUCUGGGGGAUAACGUACCGAAAGGUGCGCUAAUACCGCAUAACCCGGUUGAUUUUCGGAUUGACCGGUAAAGGUGACCUCUUCAUGAAAGUUACCGGGAAGAGAUGAGUCCGCGUCCCAUUAGCUUGUUGGUGGGGUAAUGGCCUACCAAGGCUCCGAUGGGUAGCUGGUCUGAGAGGACGAUCAGCCACACUGGAACUGGAACACGGUCCAGACUCCUACGGGAGGCAG
rnacentral:rRNA from 1 species